rnacentral:rRNA from 1 species
GAUGAACGCUGGCGGCGUGCCUAAUACAUGCAAGUCGAGCGAAUGGAUUAAGAGCUUGCUCUUAUGAAGUUAGCGGCGGACGGGUGAGUAACACGUGGGUAACCUGCCCAUAAGACUGGGAUAACUCCGGGAAACCGGGGCUAAUACCGGAUAACAUUUUGAACCGCAUGGUUCGAAAUGGAAAGGCGGCUUCGGCUGUCACUUAUGGAUGGACCCGCGUCGCAUUAGCUAGUUGGUGAGGUAACGGCUCACCAAGGCAACGAGGCGUAGCCGACCUGAGAGGGUGAUCGGCCACACUGGGACUGAGACACGGCCCAGACUCCUACGGGAGGCAGCAGUAGGGAAUCUUCCGCAAUGGACGAAAGUCUGACGGAGCAACGCCGCGCGAGUGAUGAAGGCUUUCGGGUCGUAAAACUCUGUUGUUAGGGAAGAACAAGUGCUAGUUGAAUAAGCUGGCACCUUGACGGUACCUAACCAGAAAGCCACGGCUAACUACGUGCCAGCAGCCGCAGUAA